GACGAACGCUGGCGGCGUGCUUAACACAUGCAAGUCGAACGGAAAGGCCUUGCUUUUGUGGGGUGCUCGAGUGGCGAACGGGUGAGUAACACGUGAGUAACCUGCCCUUGACUUUGGGAUAACUUCAGGAAACUGGGGCUAAUACCGGAUAGGAGCUCCUGCUGCAUGGUGGGGGUUGGAAAGUUUCGUCGGUUGGGGAUAGACUCGCGGCUUAUCAGCUUGUUGGUGGGGUAGUGGCUUACCAAGGCUUUGACGGGUAGCCGGCCUGGUAGGGUGACCGGCCACAUAGGGACUGAGUACCCGCACAGUAUCCUACGGGAUGCAGGAGGGGGAAAACUUGCACAAUGGGCGGAAACCUGAUGCAGGAACGCCGCGGGCGGGAUGGAGGCCUUCCGGUUGUAAACCGCUUUCGCCUGUGACGAAGCGUAAGUGACAGUAAUGGAUAAAGAAGCACCGGCUAACUACGUG
rnacentral:rRNA from 1 species